ensembl:lncRNA
CGAGAAAGUACCUAUUUAGAUCCUUAAUAUGCGAUUAGUUUAUCCAAAUGACGCCUGUUUGUAAAUUUGUCCAGACGUUAUCGGAGAUGUGAAGUGGCCUCUGUGAACUCCAAAUGACGGAAAUCCGUCGUAGCGACGGAGAACUUUAAUCCAUGGUUAGAGUGUCUCUGGGGUCUUGUGGACUUAGAGAGAGACAGGCAUACCGAUUUGCAGUAAAGCAGUCAUUUGGAAAGUGAAAGUAUUGUGGAAGGAAGUGAUAAUGCCCAUAAUAGCAAUAGAGUACAACAGUUUUUAAAAUGGCACAUCUAUUUUUCUGUUAUGUCAAAUAAUGACAAUAGAAGAACUUCAUCCCUGUUCCAGUCAUACAUUUCACGAUUAAUUCAGUCAGCAUCUAAAAAUUAAACUAAAAUAAAAGAAGGGAGAGAAUCUAUGAAAUGUCGCAUAGUAUUGAAUUAUAUUUUUACACUUAAAUUGGAUAUAAUAGACAACGCUUUUCCUUGUUAAAUAAAUGCAAUUUGAAAUAGAAAUACUAUAGAAACAUGUAGGAACAACUUUGAAUACCAGUCUCAUGCUUUGAGCUGAUCUAAUAGAGGAUAUUGCAUUAUUCAAUCCCGUUGCAUGUUAUAAUUCUACCGUUUUCAUGGCAGAUGAUUCACUUAGAAUAAAUAUUGAGUAAUUCCUCUUUUGGCAAGAGCUAAAUUGCAUGACGAUGAACCACCAGAGCGACUGACUAGAUGUCGCUCCAUGCACACGUGGUUACCUUGUCUUUAAGCCCAAAGUGCAGGUGUGGCAGGAUGUGCAGACAAGGAGACAAAAGCGUCAUCUCGACGGGAAUGAAAGAAUAUACAGAGAAAUAUCAUUGACUGAUCAACAAUCAGCAAAUACGAUGACAUCUUCCGAAGAACUUUGCGGCAGCGGCGUGGGCGAGGCGACAGAAAUACUGCCCUUUUCAGGGCCAUUUAAGAGUGCUUCCAUGAGAGCUGGGCCCUUUUCAGGGCCUCACUGUUCCUCCUGUCCCGCUUCUCCAGUGCCAUCCUUCAGUUAUGCCAGCCGAUAGCCGUUUCGCCCAGCUGGCAUAUGGCCUGGUCAACCAUGAUACAGAGGACCAUCUUUUUCAAUAUUCGCCUUUUGAUAAUAGGCGAAUAUUGUCUUAAUUAUGCCUUGAAUGCGUUAUUUGGUGUUUGACUUUGGAAUCUGAGAAUGGACAUUCAGAAUUCUGCAGUCUCAAUUUGGUGUUUUCCCCGUCUUGUAAAGUGUGGCCACAGCCAUAGAGUGAGAGAUAGUUUAUUGAUAGAACGUAUGCAAAUAUACUUAAGUUCCUCUUCAGUGAAUGUAGAUGCUAUUGAUAAAAAAUAUAUUUUCGAACAGAUCUACAAGCUAGCAGUUUCAAAAUCAGCUGCAUCUAUGCAAAACACAAACAAUGGCUCUUUCAUAAGGACAAGCUGAUGCCAACUUGUUUUUUUUUGACAGCUCACUUUGGUAGAACACUUAAAAGGGUUUCUGGCAAGCAACACAGAAAACACAGGGAACACAAUAGUUAAAAGGGUUAGGGUUUUUCUCACGUUUAACUGUUAACAAAGAAUUUCACUCAUUCUAAAUGUUUCUUUGAAUCUUAAAGAACUACGUAUCGGAUUGUUGUACUGUAGGUAUAAACAGCUGUAUUGGUAGGUUCCUUAAUAGCUAACUAGUUAAAUGUAAAAUGUUCAGCAAUAUUGAGGAGGAUAUUUCGAAGCAGUAAUGUUGUUUAGGUCAUUGGUUAGAAUUUCACUAUUGCAAUUAUUUGUCAUUAUUAGGUGACACUGUUAGGGGACAUUGUUGGCCACGCGAGACGUGGCUAACCCGUCUGUCAUCCCAGUUAUUUCCGCAUAAUUUUGCUUUUACUGUAAAUGUCUACCCUGGACCUGCGCUAUAGGCAUAGGCGUCCUAGGCGAUCGCCUAGGGCGGCAAAUGCGUCGGGGGCGCCCUCUGGUGGCGGCCUUAAUUAAUAAAUUAAUUAAAUCGGUUUAAUCAACACAAUUUCACUCCAUUAGGGGUGUAGUAUGUUGAGGACAGUUUAGGACAAUGUAUCGACAAAAAUCAUCAUCGGAUGUAUAGAAAAUGCAUUUCAUGCAGAGAAUGCGGUGAGUGCUGUAGUGCAAAGUGAGUUUGAAAAUAUUUUUUAAUAAAGCCACAUAGAUUAAGACAAGUGUGCUUAAAUCAAGGGAAGGCAUUUGAAAAAAGUAAAAAAUUUGGAAUUGAGUAAAAAAUGUAAACAUGCACACCAUUUAAGAAAAUGUAAAUGGUUGGAAAAAAAUAAAGUGACAGCUGACUGAAAAGCGCAAAGCAUUGCUAAAAAAUGUAAAAUUAAUUGAACUGAAGAAUCUGAAAGGACAAUUGCACUGCUGUGUGUGUGUGUGUGUGUGUGUGUGUGUGUGUGUGUGUGUGUGUGUGUGUGUGUGUGUGUGUGUGUGUGUGUGUGUGUGUGUGUGUGUGUGUGUGUGUGUGUGUGUGUGUGUGUGUGUGUGUGUGUUUGUGUGUGUGUGUGUGUGUGUUUCUUUUAAGAGAAUAGCG